CCAUCAGAUGUGCCCAGAUGGGAUUAGCUUGUUGGUGAGGUAACGGCUCACCAAGGCGACGAUCCCUAGCUGGUCUGAGAGGAUGACCAGCCACACUGGAACUGAGACACGGUCCAGACUCCUACGGGAGGCAGCAGUGGGGAAUAUUGCACAAUGGGCGCAAGCCUGAUGCAGCCAUGCCGCGUGUAUGAAGAAGGCCUUCGGGUUGUAAAGUACUUUCAGCGGGGAGG
rnacentral:rRNA from 2 species